rnacentral:rRNA from 1 species
AUUGAACGCUGGCGGCAGGCCUAACACAUGCAAGUCGAGCGAGCGGCGGACGGGUGAGUAAUGUCUGGGAAACUGCCUGAUGGAGGGGUAUAACUACUGUAAACGGUAGCUACUACCGCAUACCAUCAGAUGUGCCCAGAGGGGAUUAGCUAGCAGGUGGGGUAUUGGCUCACCUAGGCGACGAUCCCUAGCUGGUCUGAGAGGAUGACCAGCCACACUGGAACUGAGACACGGUCCAGACUCCUACGGGAGGCAGCAGUGGGGAAUAUUGCACAAUGGGCGAAAGCCUGAUGCAGCCAUGCCGCGUGUGUGAAGAAGGCCUUCGGGUUGUAAAGCACUUUCAGCGAGGAGGCGUUACUCGCAGAAGAAGCAACGGCUAACUCCGUGCCAGCCGCCGCGGUAAUUC